AGUGAACGCUGGCGGUAGGCCUAACACAUGCAAGUCGAACGGCAGCACAGUAAGAGCUUGCUCUUACGGGUGGCGAGUGGCGGACGGGUGAGGCAUACAUCGGAAUCUACUUUUUCGUGGGGGAUAACGUAGGGAAACUUACGCUAAUACCGCAUACGACCUACGGGUGAAAGCAGGGGAUCUUCGGACCUUGCGCGAUUGAAUGAGCCGAUGUCGGAUUAGCUAGUUGGCGGGGUAAAGGCCCACCAAGGCGACGAUCCGUAGCUGGUCUGAGAGGAUGAUCAGCCACACUGGAACUGAGACACGGUCCAGACUCCUACGGGAGGCAGCAGUGGGGAAUAUUGGACAAUGGGCGCAAGCCUGAUCCAGCCAGACCGCGUGGGUGAAGAAGGCCUUCGGGUUGUAAAGCCCUUUUGUUGGGAAAGAAAAGCAGCAGGUUAAUACCCCGCUGUUCUGACGGUACCCAAAGAAUAAGCACCGGCUAACUUCGUG
rnacentral:rRNA from 1 species